rnacentral:rRNA from 1 species
AGCAGCCGCGGUAAUUCCAGCUCCAAUAGCGUAUAUUAAAGUUGUUGCAGUUAAAAAGCUCGUAGUUGAAUUUCGGGGUUAGUAGGUUGGUCAUGCCUCUGGUAUGUACUGGUCUCACUGAUUCCUCCUUCCUGAUGAGCCGUAAUGCCAUUAAUUUGGUGUUGCGGGGAAUUUGGACUGUUACUUUGAAAAAUUAGAGUGUUUAAAGCAGGCUCGCGCUUGAAUACAUUAGCAUGGAAUAAUGAAAUAGGACGUUUGACCCUAUUUUGUUGGUUUCUAGGAUCGACGUAAUGAUUAAUAGGGAUAGUUGGGGGCAUUAGUAUUCAAUUGUCAGAGGUGAAAUUCUUGGAUUUAUUGAAGACUAACUACUGCGAAAGCAUUUGCCAAGGAUGUUUUCAUUAAUCAAGAACGAAAGUUAGGGGAUCGAAGACGAUCAGAUACCGUCGUAGUCUUAACCAUAAACUAUGCCGACUAGGGAUCGGAUGAUGUUAAUUUUUAAUGACUCA